GGAAGAACAGGAGAGAUGGCCAUAUGGCCAUGAAAAUGAAUGGAAAUCUGAAACUGACUGGGGUGGGGAUGUGGAGUGUAUCUCCAGGAUGAGACAGAGAUCUGGGAAAACAGAGGUGUCCAAGAAUCAAUGGGGGAGUGAAUUUAGCUGUGAUUCACUGCACUGGGGAUAUGAAACUUGAGGAAGACACCUCUUGUAGUGAGUCAGGAACCUCAGUGGAACAACAACCAACCCACAAAACUUUCCACCCCAAAUUUAUCCUGUCUACAGGAAAUGCAGGCAUGGGGGAUGGCCAACCAAUAACUGACCCAACUUGAGACCCAUUCCAUGGGCAAGCACCAAUCCCUGACACUUAAUGAUAUUUGCUCUGUUAUGCUUGGAGACAGGAGCCUAGAACACUUGUCUUCCAAGAUGCACCAUCCAGCAUCUGACUCAGACAGAUGAAGACACCCACAGCCAAACUUUGGAUGGAGCUUGGGGAUUCUUAUGGAAGAAUAGGCAGAAGGAUUGCAGGUCCUGUAUGGGGUAGAAACUCCUCAGGAAGACAAGUGAAGUCAACUAACCCGGACUCUUGGGACUCUCAGAGACUGAAGUACCAACCAAAAUCACACAUGGUGUAGACGUAGGCUUCCAGCACAUAUGUAUCAGAUGUGAAGCUUGGUAUUCAUGUGGGUCCUGAACAACUGGAGUAGGGGCUAUCCCAAAAGCUGUUGCUAGUAUGUGGGAUAUGUUCUUCUAGCUGGGCUGCCUUGUCUCACCCCCAGUGGGAGAGGAUGUGACUAGGCUGGCAGAGACUUGAAGUGCCAGGGUGGGGAGAAAACCAAGGGAGGCCUGAUUUGCUCAGAGGAGAAGUGAAAGAACACGUGAUGAAGGAUGAUUCUUUGCUAACAAACACGCAUGUACUGGUCCACUUUACAUUGUGUAAUUGAACUCCAUUUGUUGGAACUCCAUAGUGAGAAGAGCACCAAAAACUUUUGGUGGUGUGCUGUGACUUCUUGCUGCUUCUGGGUACUUCGGCUGAUUGGCAGAGUGAUGUCAGCUGAGACACACGCAUGUGCUGAGGAAAGACAUGUGGUGGGACAAGACCUGUAGAGAACAGGUCAUGUAACUGCUGCUGAUUCAACUUUGCUAUCCCAACUCUACUGAACUGGACUGCUGGCGUAUCCAGGGAGAGUUUGUGAGUGGAUUGAGCUGCUGCUGACCUGUGAUUUGAACUGCUGAUUUCCAAACAGCACAGAUGAACUGAGGGCUAUCUCAGACUCUGUUGCCUACCAUUGGAUCCCCUUUGCCUACUAGACUCACUGGUUGGGCUUUAGUGGAAGAGGAUAUGCUUGAUGUCCCAGAGCAGGUAUUUACCCAAGAGGGGCUUCCCUUUCUCUGAGGGGAGGGAGAGGGGAUUAUGGGAGAGAGAUUUGUGAGGGUGGGACUGGGAGGAAAGGUGGAAGAGGUCUGCGCUUGGGAUGUAAUGUGGAAAGCCGUGAUAGCAUUUGCCAUUACAAGAUGGCGCUGGCUUCCGCUGCACCAGCCCGACUUCCUUUCAGGAAACUAGCUGUGUGCGCAUGUGCAAGAGUGUGUUCUCGCCAAGUCUUUGCCCACCCCGGGGCGUGCCAGUGAGAUCAUGGGUAAGCGACCAAUCAGGCGUGGAUGAGCCAUGCUAGGGUUUUAUAAGCAGUGCCUUUCUGGGCCCCGGGUCUCUCCUCUUCAAGAUGCAAUAAAUGCUUUGCUGCAGAAG